rnacentral:rRNA from 1 species
AGAGUUUGAUCCUGGCUCAGGAUGAACGCUGGCGGCGAGCCUAAUACAUGCAAGUCGAGCGAACCACUUCGGUGGUGAGCGGCGAACGGGUGAGUAACACGUAGGUGAUCUGCCCAUCAGACGGGGACAACGAUUGGAAACGAUCGCUAAUACCGGAUAGGACGAAAGUUUAAAGGUGCUUCUGGCACCGCUGAUGGAUGAGCCUGCGGCGCAUUAGCUAGUUGGUAGGGUAAAGGCCUACCAAGGCGACGAUGCGUAGCCGACCUGAGAGGGUGAACGGCCACACUGGGACUGAGACACGGCCCAGACUCCUACGGGAGGCAGCAGUAGGGAAUCUUCGGCAAUGGGCGAAAGCCUGACCGAGCAACGCCGCGUGAAUGAUGAAGGCCUUCGGGUUGUAAAAUUCUGUUAUAAGGGAAGAACGACUUUAGUAGGAAAUGGCUAGAGUGUGACGGUACCUUACGAGAAAGCCACGGCUAACUACGUG